UCAUAUCAUCCCUAUUUGUGACUCGAUGGUUGUUUACUACUCGGUAGUGCUGACAUCAAUUAACACAAUUACAAGAUAAGUUCUAUGAUCUCUAUUUUAUUUUAAUUUCCGUUAAUGCUUAUUGAAUUAUUUAAAUUUAUAUGUUGUUUAUUAUUAGGAGUAAGUCCAAUAUUUGUGCCUGUGGACUAAGCUGUUGAGACGGGGGGAAAAGAGAGAGGGAAUCAGUAUUAUGAGAUGUGAUAUGAUGUGAGAGAUGUAUGAUGACACUUACUGGAGCAGCAAAAUCUAACCCUUGAUCUAACAUGUUCAUUAUGGACAACUUUAAGGGUCUGUUUGGUUCAACAGAAAGGAGGGGAG
rnacentral:lncRNA from 1 species